rnacentral:lncRNA from 1 species
UUUGAUUCAGAUAUGAGUUAAGAGUUGAUUAAGAAAUGUAUUGUUUUAUUAGAAGUGGGUAGGGAUAGUGUGGUUAAAAUUUCUGUUAUAACAUGUAUUUGUAUUUGUAUAAGUUAAUCUUUUUUAUAUAUCAUAUAUGAAGUAUAUUAUAUUAAGUAACAAGCGUUAUGUGUCACGGACACAAAAUACAGACUUGAUAUCUACCAAGAAGUUCAAGAACAACUAGCAAGAACUAGAUUAAUCAGAUGAAUACAAGAACAACACCAGAGAAGUGAGCUAGAGCUCCAAGAGAUGUGUUGUCGAGACUGAAGAAC